rnacentral:lncRNA from 10 species
AGAACCCAUUUUAGUUCUGUCUUUCAGCCUAGCACACUCCACAUUCUCAGACAUCGCUUCUUGAGAGUGUACUAACCAUCAACUAUCAUUUCACAAUGGAGAAGGGUAGGCUGGAACUUGGAUGUGCAUUGGCAGGUCUGCAUUGGCAGACCAGAUGUCACCAUACAGACAACAAUAUCCUACAGGACAGAAAAGCUUGAAAGUAAAAGAAACUUUGGUGUUUGAAUAAACCACACAUUUGUCCUGGACAACCUGCCUAUCGUUGAACUGUUACAUGAGAGAAAAAGAGAUUUCUCUCUUAUUUGAACAAUUGCAUUUUCAAGUCUUUUUGUUACAGCAGCAUAACUGAUACCCUAACCCUGACAAAUACAUUUUUAAACAAAAGGAGGAAUGCUACUAUCGUACUCUAUGCUGGUCCAGUCUUACUUGGGGUGCAGUAUUCUCAUCUGUGAAUCACAUUUCAAGGGGCCUAAAGACAAAGUAGAAGUGUUCAGAUAACAGCAACAUGAUUGGUGAGAAAUUCAAAGUUGAAGAAACUGGAAGAGCAGAUUUAGAGUAAGUAGGAGUGCCACUUUCAAAUGUCUGAGGAACUGGCCUGUGAAAGAAUGAUUCACUUUGUUCUGUGUAGUUUCAGUAGAUAGAAGUAUGGUUCAACGGGAAAACUGAUUUUGCUGAAGAGAAAGAUUUCUGGCUGUCAGGUCUGCAUAGACAUUGGAGGCACUGAGUUCCCUGCUCAUGGAGAUAUUUUUCACAGAGCCUGGAUAAUCAUUUGGCUGGAUUUGUAACAACUGUGUAUCAUACAGCAUGAAAAUGCAUUUUCUAGCUUCCCUUGAAGUGAAAUGUGAGCAAAAAUGAUGCCAGCCACUCCCAGACCGGCCCAUAGAAACCUCCCAUAUUCUUUCUUCUUCUGCUGCUGGAUAUUGACACAGGGGAUGACUUUGAAAGCUGAGUAUUGAAGAUGGCAGAAGCUGUCUUUCAGCCUUGGUCCCUGAACAACAUGUUGAGCAGAUCCCGUGGUAAUCUGGAACUGCCCUGGACUGUAGGAAUCAACUUCUUUAUACAACAAUGGCAGAGAAGUUCUACAAUAUGGAGUCCUGUGAUAAAAGAUCAUUCUCCAUAAUGUGGGUGUCCUCAUCCAAUCAGUUGAAAGCCUGAAAAGAACAAAAAGCAGAUCUUUCUUGAGCAAGAAGGAUUCUCCAACAGACUGCCUUCAGACUUCAUCUGCAGCAUCGGCUCUUCCUGGUUCUGCAGUAAACUGUUCCUGGACUUGACUACAGCUCUUUCUCGAGUCUCCAGCCUGCUGGCUUCGUCUAUGAGAUUUUGUACUCACCAGGCAUCCACAAGCACAUGAGCCAAU